CGGCAGGGUCGAGGGGACAGAGUGAAGUACCGGGUUUUUUUACAGUGUCUGUCACUAAGGUGUUUGAGAAACAUCCAGCCUCAGAAGGUAGGCUCAGAACUGAAUGGACAUGAAGACUGAAGUACUCUCUUGACAUUCAAGAAACUGCUACUGCCAAAGAAAACAAGAGUUUCUGUAUGAUGCCACAAAGUUGGAUAGCCAGAGCUGGUGCCAAAUUUAUCCCCAAACUGGAAAAUUCCAAGAAGCACAUAGAGCGUUUCCAAGACCUGUCAGCUUCUGCUCAUUAAGAUGUCUACCAUAACUUAAUGUAGGACUUCACAACCACCACUCCUCAGCUCUGGAGUUUGGAGUCUGUCUGUGGGGAUAAAGAAAUUUCUCUCCCACUUCCUCCCCCUGCGCAUCUGCUAAUAAUCAACACCUGUGUUUUUGUUUUUUUUAUUUAAAUGCACCCCUCACUGACACUUGGGAACAAGGCAAAUUAAGUAACACUUCUCUCUAUAUUUUUUUAACUAUUAUUAUUCCAGAUAACAGCUAAGUGUAACUGAAAGAAUAGAGGGCAAACAUUUAUUUUUCUCUGUUUUAUCUUGUUUAUUUAUGCAUUUGACAGCCUUUGAGCAUAAUUAGUUUCCCCUAGUUAUGUGGUUCUUCCAUACAAGAGGGGAGAGAGAACAUUUUUUUAAAAUAGGAAAUAUGACUGCAAAACAACAAUCACUGGUGGAGUGACUGAAUAGCAGGGCAGAAUCUGAGUCUUUUGCACUCAAAAAAAUCAAAUAAAGGAGCUCUGAAUUAAUUUUUUAUACCCACACCUUUUAGCCAUUCUAAUUUGUUAUAAGCCCUAUAGAGUUCCUAAUUAAUAUAUUUUAAUGUAUUGUAUUUAAUGUAACUUUUUCAGUCAACUGACCGUGUC